rnacentral:tRNA from 1 species
UUGUGAUAAUUUCUCUAUAUAUAAUGUAACAAUGUGAUG